rnacentral:rRNA from 1 species
AUUGAACGCUGGCGGCAGGCCUAACACAUGCAAGUCGAACGGAGUGGCGGACGGGUGAGUAAUACUUAGGAAUCUACCUAGUAGUGGGGGAUAGCACGGGGAAACUCGUAUUAAUACCGCAUACUAUCAGAUGAGCCUAGGUCGGAUUAGCUAGUUGGUGGGGUAAAGGCCUACCAAGGCGACGAUCCGUAACUGGUCUGAGAGGAUGAUCAGUCACACUGGAACUGAGACACGGUCCAGACUCCUACGGGAGGCAGCAGUGGGGAAUAUUGGACAAUGGGCGAAAGCCUGAUCCAGCCAUGCCGCGUGUGUGAAGAAGGUCUUCGGAUUGUAAAGCACUUUAAGUUGGGAGGCGUUACCAACAGAAUAAGCACCGGCUAACUUCGUGCCAGCCGCCGCGGUAAUUC